UACGGAGGGUGCAAGCGUUGUCCGGAUUUAUUGGGUUUAAAGGGUGCGUAGGCGGACCGUUAAGUCAGUGGUGAAAGCCUCCAGCUCAACUGGAGAACUGCCAUUGAUACUGGCGGGCUUGAGUACAGACGAGGUUGGCGGAAUUGAUUGUGUAGCGGUGAAAUGCAUAGAUACAAUCAAGAACACCGAUUGCGUAGGCAGCUAACUAGGCUGUAACUGACGCUGAGGCACGAAAGCGUGGGGAGCGAACAGG
rnacentral:rRNA from 1 species